CGCUGUAAUACCCAGUCCUAACUAUGUAUGCCCAGGGGAAAUAAUCUGGAGCUAAGAAGUAUUUUAUCCAAAGUGUUCACAGAAGGGCCCUUUAUAAUAAUGGAAACUGGAAAGAUCCCAAAUGCUGAACAAUGAUGGGCUAACUAAGGAAACCAGCGUGGACAAAACAAUGGUAGUCAAAGCAGCUUUAAAGCAAGACGUGGAAGCAGCAAGUACUCAUGUGCAACAGGCCUGUAAGGGAAGUGGGUUCCAAGAAAUGAGGACAGAGCAAGGCCUAAAGCCCCAUCUUCUGGUUCAAGCCCUGCCACUGACUUCCCAGAGGGGUCCGUGGAGCUGGUGAGGGAGCUUCAGGAUCCUCCAGUCCGGCAUGCACUGGGGCCCUGACCCUUUCAGAAGAGGUGAGACUUUUAGUGAGGAGAAGAACAGAGAACUGAGAUUGCAGACAUAAUGGCAGGAGCUCAAGCAUUCAUCCUGGACCAUGAGGUAGAAGCCUUGUUAAGGAUGACAAAGCACCAAAAGCCUGGAUCACUGAUGAUUAUAUCUGCUCUAUAUUGUCCACCGCCAGACUUUAUAUAGGUGGACUAAGACCCUUGGACCACAGUGACUUCAUCAAGAAUGUGGCACUCCAUGAAACCAACUGGAAAGAGCUGUGCCCACAGAAGGAAUUGUCAUGACCCUGGGAGGCACAAGCCUGUUUCAAGGUCAAAUUUGCCCAUUCAACCAUGAAUUCAACUAAUCCAUAUUCAUGGCCUGUCCUGGGCCAGGCACUGGGUAUGUGAUAGCACAGAUGCCUUCCUGUCCUCAGGAGGCUGUGGUCUGGGUGGCGGUUCAGAUGGGUGAACACCUGCCUUUUCUCCACUGCGUGUGAGGCACGUACUCCCCCAAUCCAUGCAUUGUUUUCCCUUGAAUAAAGAACAUUGAACUCAUUCCUAAGUUGUUCUGAUUUUGUUAUUUGACUGUUCUCAGGGGACCCCCCAC
rnacentral:lncRNA from 1 species